rnacentral:rRNA from 1 species
CCUACGGGAGGCAGCAGUGAGGAAUAUUGGUCAAUGGCCGCAGGGCUGAACCAGCCAAGUCGCGUGAGGGAUGACGGUCCUAUGGAUUGUAAACCUCUUUUGUCAGGGAGCAAAGGGCGCCACGUGUGGCGCUUUGCGAGUACCUGAAGAAAAAGCAUCGGCUAACUCCGUGCCAGCAGCCGCGGUAAUACGGAGGAUGCGAGCGUUAUCCGGAUUUAUUGGGUUUAAAGGGUGCGCAGGCGGAAUGUCAAGUCAGCGGUAAAAUUUCGGGGCUCAACCCCGUCGGGCCGUUGAAACUGGCGUUCUUGAGUGAGCGAGAAGUGUGCGGAAUGCGUGGUGUAGCGGUGAAAUGCAUAGAUAUCACGCAGAACUCCGAUUGCGAAGGCAGCAUACCGGCGCUCAACUGACGCUCAUGCACGAAAGCGUGGGUAUCGAACAGGAUUAGAUACCCGGGUAGUC